rnacentral:lncRNA from 1 species
GUCAGAAAAGGACACCAUGUAACAGCCCAAACACACACACGUCAACAGAUUCAAAAAGUUCUAGGUGUUCUCAUUCUAGUCAGACUUAUCAAUAGUAGGCUAACAGUACUAUUACUGCUAUUUACAUAUUGGUACCACACCAGCGUGGAUUUGCAUAAUGUAUUGAAGCUCUAUGCUCUAGAGAGUUGCAUUGUAACAUAUUGGUGCUUAAUGAACUCUGAAAAAAUUGAUUUUCCACAGAGUAAAUUAAGGAAUGCAUUAUAGCUGUUAAAGCAAUCUUAAGGGAAAUCCGAAGCUUCCACUGCAGCACCAUGCUUAGAAGUUCCUGUUUUCUUCAAUGUCAAAUAGCAGUGAAAACAAAAAAUCUCCCACUUCCAGUUCUAGGAGAAUAUUAGGCUGCACAGAUCCAGAGACUAACUUCUGGAGUUCCAGGGAAGUGCUGAACCAGAUGUCCUGGUGCAUGAGGCCUGGUUUCUCUACCAUAGGGUCCAAAAGAGUGAAGUCCAUCAAACAUGGAUGCAUAAGGUAGAGGAAAAGAGUGACACAGAAUCCGUUACAUGAUGCUGCUGAGCAAGAAUUUUCAGUUGAUGAGAAUUACAUAUUAAAUAUGAAGCCCUUCAGGAAUCUGUUUCUUUCUAUCAGUGCGGUCUACCUUGUUGAUUUUUCAACAAAAUUGAGACCAGGAUCAUCUAAAAAGUAAAAAUCAUGACUUCUGACUAUUCUCUUUACUGUAGUACUCAUCCCC